AUGUUCCUAGAGAAAAAUAAGUUGAAAGAUGAUAGUAUCAAUGAUACAGACUUGGUCCGUGAUCUGAGGAUUAUCCUCAUUGUUGUACAGAAGAAUUAUUUCCUUAAUGCACUGCUAGGUGACAGACCUAUUGCAGGAGCAGAUGCAAACGUUAUGAACGUCUGGCAAGCUUGGUAUGAUGACUACUUCAUAUUUUUGUGCACCAUGAUUUACAGCUUAGAACUGGGACUUCAAAAAUGUUUUGAACGCCAUGGAACAUAUGAGAUGUUCCAAGAGCUGAAAUUGGUAUUUCAGACUCAUGCCCGUGUCGAGAGGUAUGAGACCUCUGACAAGUACUUUGCCUACAAGAUGGAGGAGAAUAGCUCAGCCAGUGAGCAUGUGCUCAAAAUGUCUGGGUACUACAAUCGCAUGAAUCAAGUGGGAGUUAGUCUUCCAGAUAAGAUAGUGAUUGACAGAGUUCUCUAG
rnacentral:rRNA from 1 species